UUAGUAGAAAUGGUAUCACUCGGGGCAU
rnacentral:piRNA from 1 species